GGGGGGGGGGGGGGGGGGGGGGGGGGGGGGGGGGGGGGGGGGGGGGGGGCCCCGGCUGCCGUGGGACCCCGAAAACCGAGCCCGACUGUCCCUCCGCUCGGGGCUCUCCCUGCUCGGGCCCCACGUUACGGGCCGUGACGCCGCCGUGGCCGCAGAGCGCGGAGCGGUGUUGGGGGCACUCCGUGCACCGCUGUGGGGAGGGAGAGAAAAAAAAGCCGCAGAGUUUGGGAAGCGCGGAGCAGUGAUCCGUACCCAGCUCCGCGCGCGGGGCAGCGUGCCUAGCACCAAGAGAUACUGGUGUAUGCUGAGGAAUGAGCUGCAUCAUGACCUAGAUGACCAUGGACCUACCAGCUGGGGCACCCAGAGAAGUGCAAGUCUUUGCCACAUGUGCAGUUUGCUUUUCACCCUCUUCUAUUAGCUGUGCCACUAUUAUGUCUAUUAUGUACAUUCUUAGAUACUAUAAAG
rnacentral:lncRNA from 12 species